rnacentral:rRNA from 1 species
UCGUAGUUGGAUUUCGGGUGGGUUGGCGCGAGUCCGCCUCUGGUGUGCACUGCGCCGGUCCACCUUCCAGCCGGGGACGGGCUCCUGGGCUUAACUGUCUGGGACUCGGAGUCGGCGAUGUUACUUUGAGUAAAUUAGAGUGUUCAAAGCAAGCCUACGCUCUGAAUAUGUUAGCAUGGAAUAACGCGAUAGGACUCUGGCCUAUCCGUUGGUCUGUGGGACCGGAGUAAUGAUUAAGAGGAACAGUCGGGGGCAUUCGUAUUCCGUUGUCAGAGGUGAAAUUCUUGGAUUUACGGAAGACGAACUUCUGCGAAAGCAUUUGCCAAGGAUGUUUUCAUUAAUCAAGAACGAAAGUUGGGGGCUCGAAGACGAUUAGAUACCGUCGUAGUCUCAACCAUAAACGAUGCCGACUAGGGAUCGGCGGGUGUUCUAUUGAUGACCCCGCCGGCACCUUAUGAGAAAUCAAAGUUUUUGGGUUCCG